ensembl:lncRNA
CACACACCCAUUCCUCACCGUGGCUUCUCCUUGCUCGCCGGCUAAAGCAGAGGACGUGCACGGUUGAUCUAACCAGGUCUAAUGUCAGACUUCCCGUGGCGUUAACGACGCGUAGCUGCCUCGUCUCUUCAUCGUGGUCCCCAGAGGAUGCAUCUCACUGACUUUGAUGUUGCCCCGACUUCCCUCGAGCACCACUAUUAGGGGGUCAAUUGAAAUGAGAAUAUUUUCCACCUCUUAGGUUGCAAAUUGUGUGAGAAACAGAACACAGAGAAGAGAAGAAGCGGAAGGUGCGUCCGCAGCCGCAGGAGGGCAGAGCUCAAGAGAGGAAACACUCUGCACUCGUGGAAAUAACAAGUUGUUCAGCAAACAACAACAAAAAUGCGGGCAGAGCAGACAGGCCGGAGCCACUGAAGCACAAUGAAAUUAAGGCCCACACGAGGAAUAAUCGUACCUACUCCAAAACGUUUUUGUUCAUCCACAGCAGAGCUACCUGUUUUUGAGCGUAGUGUAGUUAUUACUGUUAUCGUCCUUUCUUGUGACACAGUCAGUCCUCAAUGACUUGACAAAGCACAGCCCGCAGGGUGAAGAGAUAAUCUCAUCACUGGUUUUCAACCAGUAGGAGACGGGACAGCAGUUGGCACGAGGUGGGGCCUGAGUGACAUAAAACUGCUUGUGGGACGUGUCCCCAAAGAUACUCUGCCUUUUGGACGCAGAUGGACGCUGGACUGUUGGACGGCAACUGCAGCCGGCUGGCUUUUUGAUGGAGUGAUGCAGCGAUCUACUUCCUCUGAGGACGUUUGUGUUUAGCAACCUUCAAUUGUUGACUAAAUGAGUUGUCAAAACCUUUUGGACGAUCAUUUUGCGGUGAUGAUUUGAAUUUGCACUUUUAUGACCUCUGUAAAGGUCGGUUGUUUUUACGUUUUUGCUUUAUUACAAAAUGCUGUUCACGUUAUAUGUUGUCGAGCACAUCUCCUUAUCACUUUUCCAGCCCAGCUAUCUAUCAAAUGUUUGUUGGACGGAGAACUGAUAAGGGUAUGUGUCUGACCCUUUCCUUCACUGAUAACUGGACAAAUGUUCUGAAACAAAGGUUAAUAAUAUGAACAAGUGACUUUCUCAUAAAGACAAACAGAUCAUAACUUUCUCAAUUUCAACGUUUGAUUCAAACAAAUAUUACAUUAAUGAUGAAUUAUAUUUGGCCAGAUAUUUUUGCUCUCUUUCUCACCAUAUCUGUCAUAUCAUUGUUCCGUAUCAAUGCUUUAAUUCAAGAACUUUAAGAACAGAUUAUUUAAUGGGAUUCCUGUUAAAUAAUAGCCAAGUUAUCAGCUGGUGCUUUUACCAUUUUUUGGGGGUUGCAUUGUUUGAUUUAUUCUUUUUUCUUCAAGACAAAAGGUGUCGAUGUGUUAUAUAAUCAUAUUUAUUUAUAUUCAUAUCACAAUUAAAUCCAAGCAUGUUGUUCACAACAGUUUUCAUCCCAGCAGGCAAAGUUUGUAUCCUUCCCUUCUUGUAAGUAUUUUUUACCUCUGUACAUCUGUUUUUUAUGCACUUCACAGAAAUAACUAUCUAACUAGUGUAUUCUCUCAAGAAUGAUACGGGUAGAGAUGAAGAUAAACAUUUUGUGGUAACAAAAAAAACAAAAUGCACUAUUUUCAUUUUUGUAUUUUGGUAAUGUGGCAAAAUGCUGAAUUGCAAAUAUUGCUCUGAAUCUAUAUUAAAAAAAAUGUUACAACAUUUCACAAGUGCACACGGCUUCAAACCGCCUCUCCAAGGAUAGAAGAAGAACAUUCAGUUGAAGACAAUACAUAAAUUACAAACUACCCCAUAUUAUAGAAGCGAGUAUUGAAGCGACUGCUCAGGCACAUGUAUAAAGUGUAAGCAGUGAGGAGGCACCUACGCAUGUGCACUUAAUGUUGCUUGUCCACAAACUUUGGUUAAAACUGGUAACUGCAAAUCCUCCAGAAUAAGAGGUCAAUUCUAGGCCCGGACGAUGCCUCACUUAUACCAAACAAGAGUACCGCUUCAAAACGCUGUUACAGUGUCCUACAACUACUCGUUUUGAGUAGUAUGAAUGCAUUUUUCUCUGCUUGGAACCAUGUUAUUCAUUUUAUUUUAUUGACUAUGCUGAAAUCAUACUAAGUGAAGCAAAAGGUUCCCAACAGGUACUUUUAUUUUUUGACUGUUAUUUAAGGCGUGGCGUGGUGAAUGGCGACAUGUGAUGGGGCUGCUUUCCGUGUUUUUUUUUAUUGCAUUCUUCUGGUUUUUCGUUUUUCUUUGCCAUUCAAAGAUGUUGGAUGUCGUUGUUAUGGAGGUCGAGUUGAAUUUGCAGUGUGCAUUGAGUGUCUCUUUGCUGUUCAAGGUGAAGGACGAUGGAUGAUGUAUGUUUUUUUACUUGUUUUAUUUUUGUUGAGACAUGUAGCGCGC